rnacentral:sRNA from 1 species
UAUUGAUAAAAACUAUGGCAGUUAUCGUUCAACGGAUGAAGAAGUAGAAGUGAGUGGGGUGACAUUCAGAGGGUUUCAAGGAACAUCCUUUGAUGGCAAAGCUAUAACCUUUGACUGUGGACAAUCAGGUUGCUACAACAUCGUAUUGGAUCAAAUAGACAUUGUUUCUUCUCUACCAGCAAAGCCAGCCUGUUGUUCUUGCAAUAAUGCCCAUGGA